GAUCCACACAGAGCCAGAGCCAGCUGUGAAGAAGACUGAGACAGUGGUCAAACUCGACUCAGCGUCUGAUGCUGUGGUUAAAGUCGAUAUGCCAGAUGAUGAGAAAGGUGGGAAAGGGAAAAAGAAGCGGAA